CAGAAAGAAGAGAAACAACUUGUCUGAAACCCUGAGCUGGUUCCAAUUUGCUAUGUUAAACUCCAAAAGAGAUUUGCACUGAGGAUAAUUAAACCAAAACAGACGAGCCCUUUCUCCUACAGUGGCAAUCCCUCCCCAAGAGGAACAAGUUUCAGCCAUUUCAUUGUAGUGGGUAGUUUGGAUUUUUUUUCAGACAGCCAUUUGGGAAGAAGUGUGCAUUCCAAUAUUUUCAAGCAUACCCAUUUGGCUGUCAUUAGUAAGAUUGAGUCCAGUGCCUGGAUAUACAUUUUCACAUACUGGACUGAACUGCUUUUCUCCUGGACAGGUCUAACUCCCAGGUCCUUUCUGAUACACAAACAACUGGAACUCAAGUGCACUGCUAGAGAAAGGAGGCACCAGAGCGGUAAUCAAGCAACCUUCAAGGACAUUGGCUUUCAAGCAGACCUCACAUUCCUCCCAAGAGGUCAUUUAAAGGAGGUCUGUUCUAUUAUGAGCAAUAUUCUGUUAAGUUCUGUGAUGCUGCCCUUUUCCUUUGAAGCUGGGCAGGAGCUGUUAAUCCCACAUCUCAUUAAACAUCGCUAUCAUUCUGAUCGGUUUUACAUAUAACUUUUACUUUCAACUUCACGUGAUUCCAUUUACAAACGAAGGCGAAUGUACGUGUCCCACGAUAAUGUUGCAUGAUCUAAUCUGGGUUGGUCACCAGAAUCAAAGAUUUAGUCUUCUGAGGUUUCGGACUUGUGCUGGGGCCCAGCCUCAGGGAACGUCUCUCUCGAGUGUCACGUUCUCCUGGUUCCCUGGUCCCGGUGACCAACCCAGACUGGAUCCUGCUUCCAUUCACUUAAGUGUGGCCCAGUUUUGUCAUGUUUUAUCCAAGAUGUGCGGCAGUUUUCUUGCUUGAUCUGUUUUCUUAAUUUCCCAGUUUGGAUACAUAAAGAGUUUAAUGGAUAGUCACUGACCACAAUAAAAAUACUGAUGAGCAAGAGGAAGACGAAAAGGAGGAAGACUGGCCUUUCCCUUCCUCUAAAAGCCUCUGCUGUGAGCAGGCGGGAAAGUGGCAAACUCCCUUUAUCUCUAACCUGAAGUAGAAAUCAAGAUGAUGGAAUCUCAGCAGAAGAUAUUUGGGUUUGUGGCACCGGAAGAGAAAUGAUCCAAAGAUGGAACUGAGCCCAAAAUUUCUGUUGCUAAAUGAGACAGUUGCCCUGCCUCUCCUUCUCCUACAUUGGCUGAAUUAUUGUUCUUCUAUUCAUAAACCCUCCACUGAAGGAGAAAAAGGAAUCAGUCCCACAUCAGUGAAAGGAAACCUUAAGAGUUGCCAAGUCUGUUGGGGCAGGAAGGAAGUGGGAAUAAAGACAGGAAAGAUAAAGAUUGGAAAACUAAACUGAAAAAAACAUGGCGAGAGAGAAGCUCUGAAAAACACUGACUAAAAGAAAAGGAGCUUGGAAUGACUUUGAUGAAAUAUAUCGUGACAGAAGAAAGAGACCACAGAGUCCUUGAUGCUCUCUGAGCUUGGUUGUUUGCUUGCAGAUGAUUCAUUGCCCAAUCAGACAGUCCAACAGACAAUAAGCACCCCUUACCAAGGCCUUUCUGUGGGGCUGGAGAACGGAACUCCAUCAGGUAGGUCAGGUAUGGCUUCUCCGUGUUGAUUUCGUAGUAGCGGAUAUUCCCGUCUCCCUGAGGAGAGAACAA